GACGAACGCUGGCGGCGUGCUUAACACAUGCAAGUCGAGCGGUAAGGCCCUUUCGGGGGUACACGAGCGGCGAACGGGUGAGUAACACGUGGGUGACCUGCCCUCAGCUCUGGGAUAAGCCCUGGGAAACCGGGUCUAAGUACUGGAUAUGACUCCAUGACGCAUGUUGUGGGGUGGAAAGCCUUGUGCGGCUGAGGAUGGG
rnacentral:rRNA from 1 species